AGAGUUUGAUCCUGGCUCAGAUUGAACGCUGGCGGCAUGCUUUACACAUGCAAGUCGGACGGCAGCACAGAGAAGCUUGCUUCUUGGGUGGCGAGUGGCGAACGGGUGAGUAACAUAUCGGAACGUACCGAGUAGUGGGGGAUAACUGAUCGAAAGAUCAGCUAAUACCGCAUACGUCUUGAGAGAGAAAGCAGGGGACNNNNNNNNNNNNNNNNNNNNNNNNNGUUGGUGGGGUAAAGGCCUACCAAGGCGACGAUCAGUAGCGGGUCUGAGAGGAUGAUCCGCCACACUGGGACUGAGACACGGCCCAGACUCCUACGGGAGGCAGCAGUGGGGAAUUUUGGACAAUGGGCGCAAGCCUGAUCCAGCCAUGCCGCGUGUCUGAAGAAGGCCUUCGGGUUGUAAAGGACUUUUGUCAGGGAAGAAAAGGCUGUUGCUAAUACCAGCGGCUGAUGACGGUACCUGAAGAAUAAGCACCGGCUAACUACGUGCCAGCAGCCGCGGUAAUACGUAGGGUGCGAGCGUUAAUCGGAAUUACUGGGCGUAAAGCGGGCGCAGACGGUUACUUAAGCAGGAUGUGAAAUCCCCGGGCUCAACCCGGGAACUGCGUUCUGAACUGGGUGACUCGAGUGUGUCAGAGGGAGGUAGAAUUCCACGUGUAGCAGUGAAAUGCGUAGAGAUGUGGAGGAAUACCGAUGGCGAAGGCAGCCUCCUGGGACAACACUGACGUUCAUGCCCGAAAGCGUGGGUAGCAAACAGGAUUAGAUACCCUGGUAGUCCACGCCCUAAACGAUGUCAAUUAGCUGUUGGGCAACUUGAUUGCUUAGUAGCGUAGCUAACGCGUGAAAUUGACCGCCUGGGGAGUACGGUCGCAAGAUUAAAACUCAAAGGAAUUGACGGGGACCCGCACAAGCGGUGGAUGAUGUGGAUUAAUUCGAUGCAACGCGAAGAACCUUACCUGGUCUUGACAUGUACGGAAUCCUCCAGAGACGGAGGAGUGCCUUCGGGAGCCGUAACACAGGUGCUGCAUGGCUGUCGUCAGCUCGUGUCGUGAGAUGUUGGGUUAAGUCCCGCAACGAGCGCAACCCUUGUCAUUAGUUGCCAUCAUUCAGUUGGGCACUCUAAUGAGACUGCCGGUGACAAGCCGGAGGAAGGUGGGGAUGACGUCAAGUCCUCAUGGCCCUUAUGACCAGGGCUUCACACGUCAUACAAUGGUCGGUACAGAGGGUAGCCAAGCCGCGAGGUGGAGCCAAUCUCACAAAACCGAUCGUAGUCCGGAUUGCACUCUGCAACUCGAGUGCAUGAAGUCGGAAUCGCUAGUAAUCGCAGGUCAGCAUACUGCGGUGAAUACGUUCCCGGGUCUUGUACACACCGCCCGUCACACCAUGGGAGUGGGGGAUACCAGAAGUAGGUAGGGUAACCGCAAGGAGUCCGCUUACCACGGUAUGCUUCAUGACUGGGGUGAAGUCGUAACAAGGUAGCCGUAGGGGAACCUGCGGCUG
rnacentral:rRNA from 1 species